rnacentral:rRNA from 1 species
GACAGAGGGUGCAAACGUUGUUCGGAAUUACUGGGCGUAAAGCGCGUGUAGGCUGCUGGGCAAGUCGGGUGUGAAAUCUCGGAGCUUAACUCCGAAACUGCAUUUGAUACUGCCGUGCUUGAGGACUGGAGAGGAGACUGGAAUUUACGGUGUAGCGGUGAAAUGCGUAGAUAUCGUAAGGAAGACCAGUGGCGAAGGCGGGUCUCUGGACAGUUCCUGACGCUGAGGCACGAAGGUCAGGGGAGCAAACGGG